AUAAAUAAAUAAAACCUCUCAAUCAUUUCGACGAUAAAUAAAUACAACCUCUAAAAAAAAAAAGAAAAAGAAAACGAAACCUAAAACCUCAAUAAAACCUCUCAAUCCAGCCUCUCUUCCUAUCGCAGGCAACGACUCAAGCUUCUCUCUUCCUCCUCUUCUUCUUCUGAUUCAUCUUCUUUCUCUCCCAUCGAGCUUUACGUUUUGACGAUCUUUAGGGUUUUGAAAUCUGAAGCUUCAAAACCAUGGAAGACGCUUCAAAUUCAAACCCAAUGUCUGAAAAUAGAGUAAAGCAAGAAGCUCCCCAGCUUGCUGCUUUGUUGAGAGAAAUGAAGGAAGGAUUAGAUACAGUGAGGGCAAAAGUCCAAGCUUUAACUGCAAAGGUGAAAGCAAAUAAUUAUCCGACAGCAGACGGGAUAAGCUAUCUUGAAGCCAAGCAUUUGCUGCUUCUAAACUAUUGCCAGUCACUUGUCUAUUACUUACUUCGUAAGGCUAAAGGGUUUUCAAUAAAUGGGCAUCCUGUUGUUCGUAGCCUUGUGGAGAUAAGGUUGUUUCUGGAAAAGAUUCGACCCAUUGACAAGAAGCUCCAGUACCAAGUUGAGAAGCUCACCAAGGUUACUACGAGCACAACCGAAGAUGUAGGGCCAAGUGGGAAGGAACCACAACCCAAUGUGCCUCAGCAAACAGAUGAUUUGCUGAGAUACCGCCCUAACCCUGACAUGCUUGUUAGCAAAACAGAUGUGAAUUCUAAGGAUGGUAAGGAUGUGUAUCGACCUCCCAAAUUUGCCCCGACUUUGAUGGAGGAAGAUAAGUUGUCAAAGCAGGAAAAAAAUGCAUUGAGAAGGGAUAAGAAUACUUUACGACAAGCUAAGCAGAGUGCUUAUGUGAGGGAACUGGUGGAUGAUUUGGAGGGGAGGCCUGAAGAGAUUGUAGAAAGUGUUGGAGCUGAAAGCAUAGAACUAGCGAGAUACAGGGCAAAGAGGGAUGAACGUGAACGGCAAGAAGAGGAACUUUUCAUGCGUGCUCCUAUUACAAAGAAGGAGAAACAGAGAGAAAAACACUUAAAGAAAUCAAGAAAUGGGUUGCUUGGUUUGACGGAGAAUUUCUAUGAUGAAAUUAAGGGUUUACCCUUGGACGAUGAGAAUGAUGAGCAGGUUGCAAGCUCCCGCAGUGCUAGGGGUGGAAUGGGGAGGCAUAAGAAGCGCAAGAUGAGGCGUUGAAGGAAUAGCGUAUGCCGAGCUUGACAACGCCCAACAAUUUAUUUGCCGGGCCAAGCUCCGAUUGCUCCAGUAGCAUGAAAUAGCUUUCCUACAAAUCUCAAGUGUUUUUCUUUUGGCGGCAGUGUGUGCUGAUUGGAACGCUGGAGGGUUCCAACUUCCAAGCAGGGUAAUGUCAAGCUGUCAACUUAUGCACUUGAUGUGGUCAUAUUAUCAGGUAAUAUAACCCUCCCUCUUCCUUGGGAGUCCUCCUCUCCUUUCUUUUUGUCUUUAUUUUAUUUAUUAAUUUAUAUAAACUCCUAUUUUACUAUCUAAAUCAAACUCGAAACGUCUGUAACUUCUUUGUUAUCGUCUGGAUUUGCAAACAAUUUCGCCUAUGCACUCGUGUGAUCGCACUCUAUUCGAAAAUAUUAGGAGUGAUCCCCCGAAGAUCUACGGAUUUUAUAUGAUUAUUUUCGAAAAAUCAAUUUGUAACUAAGUAAUUAAAAUCUAAAAUAAAUUAAAUUAGAUUAAAUUCACAUAAUAAUAUAAAAGCCCAUAAAUAUGAAAUACGUAAAUUAUAAUAGUGAAAUCCAGGAACGGGUUUUCACAUUGGGGGUGUUUGAUGAGCCGAUAUUAUACUAUAUAUUUUACUGUAUGUUUUGGUAUUUAUUUUGGUUGAAUUUUUAUACUUUGAUUUAUAUUUCAAAUAUAGGACAUUCAACUUCAUCUUGAGAAAAAAGUAUUCAAAUGGAUGAAUUUUGGAGUGAUUUCAUUAAAAUGAUGUUUCUGAGUCUCUCAACUUGUUUGUCUCAAAGUUACAAAUUUUUCUAAGGAAAACUAAUGAAGGGGGUUUGAAAACAUUGAAUUUUAACGAUAAGGACAAAAUAAAAGGUAAAGUGAAUAGUAUCAUGAUUGACCUUUUAGUGUAAAAAUAUGGUUUUUCGUUAAAGUGAACAGUACCAGGAGCUUUUUGUUAAAGUUCCCAUUUUUCUAUCCAUCAAUUUAUUUAUAGUGAUGAAAUCAAAAGGAGCAGUGUGUAGGGUUGUUAAAGUGACGUUUUGAGCUUAUUUGGGCUUUGUGGCGUCCAAGAUGGUGUCUUUUGCUAUUGGUUUCCUCUUGGAACUUGGAGAGGAUGUCCUAAGCUUUAAUUCAAGUAGUUUUGGGCCUGAUUUGUAGCCUUGAGGUCUAGAAACGUGGCUGAUUUUUGGCUGGGCAAAUUUCCAUAUUUGAUUAGGAUUAUGUUUAUUAGUUUCUCUUUUUCCAUUUUGUUUCCUAGUUUUUGAAAGAUCUGUUCUAGGAAGUAUUUUAUUUUGUAGGAGUAUAGAUAAAGCUGUUUAGCCAUUUGGGUUUUGAACGCAUCAAUUUGGAGAAUUAUGCUAGGCUUUGACGAUUUGUAUUCUUCUCUCAAGAUGUUUUCUAUCCUUUUUCUAGUUCAAUAAAAUUCCUUUUGUUUUAUGAUUUUUUGUAAC